rnacentral:rRNA from 1 species
GCUACUGCUAUCGGGGUUCGAAUAAGCCAUGCGAGUUAAAUGUUCUUCGUGAACAUAGCGAACUGCUCAGUAACACGUGGAUAACCUACCCUUAGGACCCGGAAUAACCCCGGGAAACUGGGGAUAAUACCGGAUAAGCCAUAGACGCUGGAAUGCCCUAUGGUUCAAAGCUCCGGCGCCUAAGGAUGGAUCUGCGGUCUAUCAGGUUGUAGUGGGUGUAACGUACCUACUAGCCGACGACGGAUACGGGUUGUGAGAGCAAGAGCCCGGAGAUGGAUUCUGAGACACGAAUCCAGGCCCUACGGGGUGCAGCAGGCGCGAACACUUUACAAUGCGGGAAACCGCGAUAAGGGAACCCCGAGUGCCAGCAUCAAAUGUUGGCUGUCCGGAUGAUUAAAAAUCAUUUGUUAGCAAGGGCCGGGCAAGACCGGUGCCAGCCGCCGCGGUAACACCGGCGGCCCGAGUGGUAGCCGUUUUUAUUGGGUCUAAAGGGUCCGUAGCCGGCCUGAUAAGUCCUUUGGGAAAUCUGGCAGCUUAACUGUCAGGCUUCUAAGGGAUACUGUCAGGCUUGGGACCGGAAGAGGUAAGGGGUACUCCAGGGGUAGGAGUGAAAUCUUGUAAUCCCUGGGGGACCAUCUGUGGCGAAGGCGCCUUACCAGAACGGGUCCGACGGUGAGGGACGAAAGCUAGGGGAGCAAACCGGAUUAGAUACCCGGGUAGUCCUAGCUGUAAACGAUGCUCGCUAGGUGUCAGACACGGUGCGACCGUGUUUGGUGGCGCAGGGAAGCCGUUAAGCGAGCCACCUGGGAAGUACGGUCGCAAGGCUGAAACUUAAAGGAAUUGGCGGGGGAGCACUACAACGGGUGGAGCCUGCGGUUUAAUUGGAUUCAACGCCGGA